rnacentral:rRNA from 1 species
AAAAUUUGUUAUUAAUUUGAUUUAUAUGUAAAUUUUUGUGUGAAUUUGUAUUAAUUUUAAAAAUUUUUAUAAUUUUUAUAUCCGCAGUAAUUAAUUUUAUUAAUUAAAGAAAUUUAGAAAUAGCAAUAUUAAAGAGUAUAGAUAAAAUUGGUGCCAGCAAUCGCGGUUACACCAAUUAUACAAAUGAAUUUUUUUAGUAAAAGUUAAAUUGUUUAAUAUUAUAUGUAAAUAUAAUUAAAUUUAUUAAGUGAAAUUUUAAAUUUAAAUUUUUUAUAGUAAAAUAAAUUGAAGCUUAAAAAUUUUAAUGAA